rnacentral:lncRNA from 1 species
GAACAAUCAUCAAUCAGCAGCUAAGGCACCCAUUUGCUGUAUUGGGUCAAAAUCUCCACAAUGCGAAUAACUUGGUGCAACCUCAGGUCAACAAGGUUAAGGAUGUCUCCGAUGAUGGUAAAUCACCUGCAAAGUGGAUUUUUAUGAUAGUUACAUUAUUUUUCAGUUUAGCCAAAACUGUAUGUAUAUUCAGUCCUCUAUAAUUGUUCUCGUAAUAUAGCAUUUUGCAUUCUUCUUCUCCUUUAUUCAUUUGCAGCUCAGAGUUAUAGAACUCAAGGAACAUUUCUCAAAAAGGAUGAUCCUAAGAUAACUGCUUUGAUGCAGCAAGCGGAGCUACUCAGCUCACUUGCAUUGAAGGUUAACACAGACGGUACAGAAGAGAGUCUGGAAAAUGCUUGGAAGGUGAGAUAUGAUUUUAGUUUCUAUCUUGUUUUUGUUUUAUCAUCAAUUCAACAUCCAAUAAUACUAUCAACAUGUUGCUUCUCCAUAGGUAAAGUGCUAAAAUUUAAAUAUUGUGGGGUUUAUAGUUCAAUCUAUGCACUGUAUGUCCCUAACUUUCAUCCUAAUAAAUUUUAUUUCCAGGUCCUUCAAGAUUUUUUGAAUCAGAGUAAAGAAAAUGACACCUUCAGAUAUACAAUCUCUGAUAUUGAUUUUCAAAUUGAAGAUUUCAAAGACUUGCUUGAGGAUUUAAGGAGUAGUAAUGAGGGAAGUCAACAAUCUUGGAGGUAACAGAUAAAUCAGUUAAAGUUCAGAUUUAGUAAGGUUUCAUACUCACCACUAACUGAUGAUUAAUGUGUUGCAGGCAACCUGAUCUCUAUGAGGUAUCUCCUUCCAGUUCUGAAUACAGUACAGGGUCAACAAUUAUGCCUCAUCCAGCUGGGGAACGAGGAGAAAAGACUCAGGCUAAAAUAGAUGAACUGCACCCAGAUAUAUUGUCAAAUCAUAUUGGAGAGCAGAAUUGCAGUACCGAGGAGGAAACAAGGGCUCU